AACGCGAAGAACCUUACCAAGGCUUGACAUAUAGCGAAAAGUGGCAGAGAUGUCAUGUCCGCAAGGGCGCUAUACAGGUGGUGCAUGGUUGUCGUCAGCUCGUGUCGUGAGAUGUUGGGUUAAGUCCCGCAACGAGCGCAACCCUCGUUCUGUGUUACCAGCAUUAAGUUGGGGACGCACAGGAGACUGCCGGGGUCAACUCGGAGGAAGGUGGGGAUGACGUCAAAUCAUCAUGCCCCUUAUGUCUUGGGCUGCACGCAUGCUACAAUGGCCGGUACAAAGUGCUGCGAAAUCGUAAGAUUUAGCGAAUCACAUAAAGCCGGUCUCAGUUCGGAUUGAGGUCUGCAACUCGACCUCAUGAAGUCGGAGUUGCUAGUAAUCGUAGAUCAGCAACGCUACGGUGAAUACGUUCCCGGGUCUUGUACACACCG
rnacentral:rRNA from 1 species